CAGAAAAAAGUUGUUUCACAAAAUUGUCAGGGGAGACUAGCGAUUCUAUAGAGCCAUCGAUCAUUCGGAUCGGAUGUGGCUUGAAUCUCAGUUGUUCGAUACCUUGGCAAAUUCAUUCUUAAAAUAUGGAAGCAUGAGAAAAAUCAGUUCAAAUCAAA